GAUGAACGCUGGCGGCGUGCCUAAUACAUGCAAGUCGAGCGAACGGACGAGAAGCUUGCUUCUCAGAUGUUAGCGGCGGACGGGUGAGUAACACGUGGAUAACCUACCUAUAAGACUGGGAUAACUUCGGGAAACCGGAGCUAAUACCGGAUGAUAUUUUGAACCGCAUGGUUCAAAAGUGAAAGACGGUCUUGCUGUCACUUAUAGAUGGAUCCGCGCUGCAUUAGCUAGUUGGUAAGGUAACAGCUUACCAAGGCAACGAUGCAUAGCCGACCUGAGAGGGUGAUCGGCCACACUGGAACUGAGACACGGUCCAGACUCCUACGGGAGGCAGCAGUAGGGAAUCUUCCGCAAUGGGCGAAAGCCUGACGGAGCAACGCCGCGUGAGUGAUGAAGGUCUUCGGAUCGUAAAACUCUGUUAUUAGGGAAGAACAUAUGUGUAAGUAACUGUGCACAUCUUGACGGUACCUAAUCAGAAAGCCACGGCUAACUACGUG
rnacentral:rRNA from 1 species